rnacentral:rRNA from 1 species
GACGUAGGGCGCGAGCGUUGUCCGGAUUUAUUGGGCGUAAAGAGCUCGUAGGCGGUUUGUCGCGUCGGCCGUGAAAUCUCCACGCUUAACGUGGAGCGUGCGGUCGAUACGGGCAGACGUUGAGUUCGGUAGGGGAGACUGGAAUUCCUGGUGUAGCGGUGAAAUGCGCAGAUAUCAGGAGGAACACCGAUGGCGAAGGCAGGUCUCUGGGCAUUAACUGACGCUGAGGAGCGAAAGCAUGGGGAGCGAACAGG